GAGGGUAUAGCUCAAGUGGUAGAGCACUUGCUUAGCAUGCAUGAGGUCUAGGGUUCAAUCACCAGUACCUCCA
rnacentral:tRNA from 1 species